UAAACGCAAUAAUGUACCGGUACAGCAAAGUAAGAUCUGCAAAUAAGUCAACAUGACCAAAAGUCAAUUGACCCUCUUCAAGAGUUAUUGCCUUUUAUAAAAUUGAGAAUGGAAAUGGGGAAUAGUAAAUUUUUUACAAUUUUCAUAAAUUUUGUAAAUUUUUGCAAAACAUUUUCCUCUAAAACUACUGGGCAAAGUUCACUAUAGAUAGAGCUAAUUGUGAGCAGCAAGAAUGUUCAGGAAAGUCAGAUCUACAAACACAUCACAGUGGGGACAUAUUUUUCAUAAGGCGGGCCAGACAACCUAAAGGGGGGGCUCAAGUCAUGCUUCAGUGAUUCCCUAUAUAAUAAUAAUCAACCAAAUUUUUCUCAUGAAAGUGAUGCUUUUGCUGUAAAUGUGCAUCAUGACUGAAAUAUAAUGUGAUCUGUCAUACUAGCAUUGACUAGUGCAUCAUGACUAAAAUAUUGCUGUAUUGUACAAAAAGUGUACAAACACACCAGUUAGUAACUCUAUAUAUUAUUUAUUUAGUAAUCGUUCAUGAUAAUGUUACUUGUUUGUGAUAAAUCCUGCAUGGUAAUGUUAUCUGUUGGGAUUACAAUGUAUUACUUCAUUAAAAUGUUACCUGUUUGGGAAUAAUACUUCAUGAUAAUUUAACUUGUUUGGGAUUAAUACUUCAUGAUAAUGUAACUUGUUUGGGAUUAAUACUUCAUGAUAAUGUAACUUGUUUGGGAUAACUACUUUAUUAUAAUGUUAUUUGUUUGGGAUAAUACUUCAAUGUUCCGUAAUUGUUAAUUUUGAGAGCAUUAAAAUGUUUUUGAAGCA
rnacentral:lncRNA from 1 species